rnacentral:rRNA from 1 species
ACUAACAAGGAUUCCCCUAGUAACGGCGAGUGAAGCGGGAUGAGCUCAAAUUUAAAAUCUGGCGGCCCAAGGUCGUCCGAGUUGUAAUCUAGAGAAGUGUCUUCCGUGCUGGACCGUGUACAAGUCCCUUGGAACAGGGCGUCGUAGAGGGUGAGAAUCCCGUCUGUGACACGGACUGCCAGUACUUUGUGAUGCACUCUCGACGAGUCGAGUUGUUUGGGAAUGCAGCUCAAACUGGGUGGUAAAUUCCAUCUAAAGCUAAAUAUUGGCGAAAGACCGAUAGCGAACAAGUACCGUGAGGGAAAGAUGAAAAGCACUUUGGAAAGAGAGUUAAACAGUACGUGAAAUUGUUGAAAGGGAAACGCUUGAAGUCAGUCGCGUCUUCAGGGAUUCAGUCUGGCUUUUUCUGCCUGACGCACUUCCCUGGGUGACGGGCCAGCAUCAGUUUCGGCUGUCGGAAAAAGGCUUGAGGAAGGUGGCAUCCUUCGGGGUGUGUUAUAGCCUCUCGUCGUAUACGACAGCUGGGACUGAGGUCUGCAGCACGCCUUCAAUGGCCGGGGUUCGCCCACGUAACGUGCUUAGGAUGCUGGCGUAAUGGCUUUAAGCGACCCGUCUUGAAACACGGACCAAGGAGUCUAACAUGCCUGCAAGUGUUUGGGUGGCAAACCCAUGCGCGGAAUGAAAGUGAAAAGUUGGGACCUCUGUCAUGGAGGGCACCGACGCCCGGACCAGACCUUUUGUGACGGUUCCGAGGUAGAGCAUGCAUGCUGGGACCCGAAAGAUGGUGAACUAUGCCUGAGUAGGGUGAAGCCAGAGGAAACUCUGGUGGAGGCUCGUAGCGAUUCUGACGUGCAAAUCGAUCGUCGAACUUGGGUAUAGGGGCGAAAGACUAAUCGAAC